rnacentral:misc_RNA from 1 species
AAGUCGUAACAAGGUUUCCGUAGGUGAACCUGCGGAAGGAUCAUUACUGAGAGUACCGGGCCUCCUGCCCUGGCUACUUUUUACCCAUGUUUUUUAGAGUACCAAAAGUUUUCCUCGGCGGCUCUGCCCGCCGGUCGGACUCCAUUCCAAACCCUUUGCAGUUGCCAGUCAGCGUCUGUAAACAAAAUAAUUACAA